AGGUGCCCGUACCGCAAACCGACACAGGUAGGUAGGAAGAAGAUUCUAAGGCCAACGGGAGAAGGGUUGUUAAGGAACUCGGCAAAUUGACCCCGUAACUUCGGGAGAAGGGGUGCUCCAGAGAUGGAGCCGCAGAGAAUCGGCCCAAGCAACUGUUUACCAAAAACACAGGUUUGUGCUAAAUCGAAAGAUGACGUAUACGAGCUGACGCCUGCCCGGUGCUGGAAGGUUAAGAGGAGAUGUGCAAGCAUUGAAUCGAAGCCCCAGUGAACGGCGGCCGUAACUAUAACGGUCCUAAGGUAGCGAAAUUCCUUGUCAGGUAAGUUCUGACCCGCAUGAAAGGCGUAAUGAUUUGGGCACUGUCUCAACAGCCCGCCCGGCGAAAUUGUAGUACCGGUGAAGAUGCCGGUUACCCGCGACAAGACGGAAAGACCCCAUGGAGCUUUACUGUAGCCUAAUAUUGGGUUUCGAUGUUGCAUGCACAGGAUAGAUGGGACACUGGGAAACAAUCGCUUUGGCGGUUGCGGAGUGGCCGUUGGGAUACCAUCCUUGCGAUAUUGGAAUUCUAACCUGCGGCUCUGAAUCGAGUCGGGGGACAUUGUUAGGUGGGCAGUUUGACUGGGGCGGUCGCCUCCUAAAAAGUAACGGAGGCGUUCAAAGGUUCGCUCAGCUUGAACGGAAAUCAAGCAAAAGAGUGCAAACGCAGAAGCGAGCCUAACUGCGAGACUGACGGGUCGAGCAGUAACGAAAGUUGGAGUUAGUGAUCCGGUGGUAUGUGAGUGGAAAUGCCAUCGCUCAACGGAUAAAAGUUACCCUGGGGAUAACAGGCUGAUCUCCCCCAAGAGUCCACAUCGACGGGGAGGUUUGGCACCUCGAUGUCGGCUCAUCGCAUCCUGGGGCUGUAUUCGGUCCCAAGGGUUUGGCUGUUCGCCAAUUAAAGCGGUACGCGAGCUGGGUUCAGAACGUCGUGAGACAGUUCGGUCCCUAUCUGUCGUGGGCGCAGGAUAUUUGAUGGGAGCUGUCCCUAGUACGAGAGGACCGGGACGGACGUACCUCUGGCGCACCAGUUGUUCCGCCAGGAGCAUAGCUGGGCAACUACGUACGGAUCGGAUAAACGCUGAAAGCAUCUAAGCGUGAAGCCGACCCAAAGAUAAGAUAUCCCACUGAUUUGAUCAGGUAAGACCCCUUGAAGACUACAAGGUCGAUAGGCACGAUGUGUAAGUGGAGCGAUCCAUUCAGCAAGCGUGUACUAAUAGGUCGAGGGCUUGACCAC
rnacentral:rRNA from 1 species